rnacentral:misc_RNA from 1 species
AGAAGCCAGUGAUGCAGAGAAAGCAUUAAAGCUUUGGGAGAUUAGUGAAAAGCUUGUUGGGUUACCAUAAAGGUGCACAAAAAGAUGAUUACAGAACCCAUAGUUCUCACAGGAACGAUGAACAAAUAUGGUCUUGGCAGGAAAGCUCGAAGAAUGAAUUCUGCUUUUGUAAAUGCAAGAAAUUAUUUGGAAUGAGAUGAGACAAUAAACACA